CAGCCGCCACGGUAACACGAACCGUGCGAACGUUAUUCGGAAUUACUGGGCUUAAAGCGCGUGCAGGCGGGUCGGCACGUCGGUCGCUGAAAUCCCCCGGCUCAACCGGGGAAGUGGCGCCGAUACGGCCGGCCUGGAGGGGGGUAGGGGGGCCUGGAACUUCCGGUGGAGCGGUGAAAUGCGUUGAGAUCGGAAGGAACGCCCGUGGCGAAAGCGAGGCCCUGGACCCUUUCUGACGCUGAGACGCGAAAGCCAGGGGAGCGAACGGGAUUAGAUACCCCAGUAGUCCCUGUCUCUUAUA
rnacentral:rRNA from 1 species